GCAGUCGACGCGCAGCGAAAGGUGCUUGCACCUUUCAAGCGAGUGGCGAACGGGUGAGUAACACGUGGAUAACCUGCCUCAAGGCUGGGGAUAACAUUUGGAAACAGAUGCUAAUACCGAAUAAAACUUAGUAUCGCAUGAUACAAAGUUGAAAGGCGCUACGGCGUCACCUAGAGAUGGGUCCGCGGUGCAUUAGUUAGUUGGUGGGGUAAAGGCCUACCAAGACAAUGAUGCAUAGCCGAGUUGAGAGACUGAUCGGCCACAUUGGGACUGAGACACGGCCCAAACUCCUACGGGAGGCUGCAGUAGGGAAUCUUCCACAAUGGGCGAAAGCCUGAUGGAGCAACGCCGCGUGUGUGAUGAAGGCUUUAGGGUCGUAAAGCACUGUUGUAUGGGAAGAAAUGCUAGAAUAGGGAAUGAUUCUAGUUCGACGGUACCAUACCAGAAAGGGACGGCUAAAUACGUGCCAGCAGCCGCGGUAAUACGUAUGUCCCGAGCGUUAUCCGGAUUUAUUGGGCGUAAAGCGAGCGCAGACGGUUGAUUAAGUCUGAUGUGAAAGCCCGGAGCUCAACUCCGGAAUGGCAUUGGAAACUGGUUAACUUGAGUGUUGUAGAGGUAAGUGGAACUCCAUGUGUAGCGGUGGAAUGCGUAGAUAUAUGGAAGAACACCAGUGGCGAAGGCGGCUUACUGGACAACAACUGACGUUGAGGCUCGAAAGUGUGGGUAGCAAACAGGAUUAGAUACCCUGGUAGUCCACACCGUAAACGAUGAAUACUAGGUGUUAGGAGGUUUCCGCCUCU
rnacentral:rRNA from 1 species